GGGGACGUAGCUCAGCUCGGAAGAGCGCCUGAAUCGCACUCAGGAGGUCGUGGGUUCGAAUCCCAUCGUCUCCACCA
rnacentral:tRNA from 2 species